rnacentral:rRNA from 1 species
UACAGAGGGUGCGAGCGUUCAUCGGAAUUACUGGGCGUAAAGGGCGCGUAGGCGGUGGGUUACGUCUGCCGUGAAAUCCCCGGGCUCAACCUGGGAAUGGCGGUGGAAACGGGCUGACUGGAGUAUGGGAGAGGGUGAUGGAAUUCCAGGUGUAGGGGUGAAAUGCGUAGAGAUCUGGAGGAACACCAGUGGCGAAGGCGGUCACCUGGCCCAAUACUGACGCUGAGUCGCGAAAGCGUGGGGAGCAAACAGG